GGAGGGUGCAAGCGUUGUUCGGAAUUAUUGGGCGUAAAGAGCGUGUAGGCGGUCCGGUAAGUCAGAUGUGAAAGCCCUGGGCUCAACCCAGGAAGUGCAUUUGAAACUACCAGACUUGAGUACGGGAGAGGAGGGGGGAAUUCCCGGUGUAGAGGUGAAAUUCGUAGAUAUCGGGAGGAAUACCAGUGGCGAAGGCGCCCUCUGGACCGAUACUGACGCUGAGACGCGAAAGCGUGGGGAGCAAACAGGAUUAGAUACCCUGGUAGUCCACGCCGUAAACGAUGAGCACUAGGUGUAGCGGGUAUUGACCCCCCUGCUGUGCCCGUAGCUAACGCAUUAAGUGCUCCGCCUGGGGACUACGGCCGCAAGACUA
rnacentral:rRNA from 1 species